UUGAUCCUGAUGUGUUUGUCUAUAUAGAACGUUUUGACCGAACAUUAACAUAAUUGGGAGCUUGAGAGUUUUUAUAUUGCGUACGCGCCUCCAUUGUCAGAGGAAGUACAAUAAAUAUAAAACAAAGCACCCACCUGCCUUGAGCGGGAUCAAAACUAAUCAAAUAGACGGCAACAUUGGGAUUGAU
rnacentral:other from 2 species